rnacentral:rRNA from 1 species
GUGGGGAAUAUUCCGCAAUGGACGAAAGUCUGACGGAGCAACGCCGCGUGAGUGAUGAAGGUUUUCGGACUGUAAAGCUCUGUUGUUUAGGACGAAAGUGCCUGUUGCAAAUAGUUACAGGUAUUGACGGUACUGAACGAGGAAGCCACGGCUAACUACGUGCCAGCAGCCGCGGUAAUACGUAGGUGGCAAGCGUUGUCCGGAAUUAUUGGGCGUAAAGAGCAUGUAGGCGGGAAUCUAAGUCUGUUGUGAAAAUGCGGGGCUCAACCCCGUAUUGCGAUGGAAACUGGGUUUCUUGAGUGCAGGAGAGGAAAGGGGAAUUCCCAGUGUAGCGGUGAAAUGCGUAGAGAUUGGGAGGAACACCAGUGGCGAAGGCGCCUUUCUGGACUGUGUCUGACGCUGAGAUGCGAAAGCCAGGGUAGCGAACGGGAUUAGAUACCCUGGUAGUCC